rnacentral:lncRNA from 1 species
AUGCCCGUGUCUACAUCGUACCCUGGCUUCUCCCCCAGGCCAUCUCCCCCCGACCCUUUCCCACGACCUUGGCUUCCCCCCUGGUCUGCAGCGCCGCGGGUCUCGUCCCGGCCUCCCACGCAGACAGAGGACCGGGCAGUGGGGCGGGCCAGCCCUGUUCCCACGCGCGCGCCCGCCGCCCGCCGCCGGCCGCCUGCCACCUGCCACCUGCGCGGCGGCCCCGUCCCGGGUCAGGCCGUGGCCGCCCGAGAAGCCCUCCCUCGCGGGGCGCGGGGCGCGGGGCUGCGGGGCGCGGGGGUCCGGGCUCCGGGCUCCGGGCUCCGGGCUCCGCGCGGCGGCCGCCAGGGGGCGGGAGGGAGCAGCUGGCCGGCACCUCCCCGCCUCGUUCCCCUCCCCCGACCCGCCGGCCACUCACGGAUUUUCACUCGGCGGUGGUCGAGGCGCGCGGCGGCGGCGUGCAGGGCGUCGAGGCGGCGGUGCAGCGCGGCGGUGCGGCCACCCAGGGCGGCCGCCUGGCCCUCGAGCUCGCCGAAGAUGUCCCCCGCGCAGCGCGACAGGUCGGCGAGCUGCGCCAGCAGGCAGCCCAGGGCGUGCGAGCUGACCUGCUCCAGCGAGCGGAAGAGCGGCGCGCCCGCGGCCCCGGCCGCCUCCGGCCGGCGCAGCCGCGCGGGCUCCACGCUCCUCUGGUGGAAGGGCAUGGCGGGGGCCGGGCCGGGCCGGGCGGGGCGGGGGCCGGGGCGCGGGCCCCAGGCGCGGCUCCAGGCGCGGGCCCCAGGCGCGGGCUCCAGGCGCGGGCUCCAGGCGCGGCGGGCCGCCCGGGGCGAGCGCAGCCCUCAGUCCGGCCCCCGUCGGCGCGGGGCGCGAGUGCGCAUCCAACACAAAGGAAAGUCCGGGCAGCGGCGGGGCGCCGGGGAGGAGGCGAGGCGGCGGGCAGGACGGACCGACGGACGCGCGGGCGGGCAGCCGCGGGCAGGGCUCCGCGGGGUCGGAGCCGCGGCCGCCUGGCGCCCUCCCACCGCCGGGGUGCGGGGGCGCGGGGGCGCGGGGGCGCCGGGGCCGCGCGGCGAGAGGCAGUCCCAGGAGCGGCUCCCGGGCGCGGGGCGCGGCGGCCGCGCGGGCGAGCGGAGUCGGGAGUCCCGCUCAAGUUUGCAGGGAGGCAGGAAAGAGCCGGCGGCCCCUUCCCUCCCUCCCGAUUGGAGAGGGAGGAGGAAGCGGGGGAAGUGCCGCCGACACCGGGCGCGAGGGAGGGCAGGCGAAAGAAAGAAAGGGGGAGGAGAAAAGGGCCGGCCCGGGGAACCACCUGCGGCUCCGGCGGCCGCCGCGCCCCGCGCCCCGCGCCCCGCGCCCGAGGGGAGGUGGCGGCCCGCGUCUCCGCGCCGCCUGCCGCGGCCGCACGGUCCGGGGCUCCCACGUCCCCGCCCGCUUCCCUCCAAGCCCCACGAGCCUUUGGGCCGAGACCUCGCCCGCCCCCGGGCCCGGCGCGCGGAGGGUGGAGCGCCGCGGAGGCGGGGGCGGCGGGGGCGGCGGGGACCGCGAGCCCCUCUCCCGCUGCUCACCUGCGCUCCGGCCCGCGGCGCCCCCGAGUCCCGCGCCCCCCGCCGCGCAGGGACCGCCCCCGGCCUCCCAGGGUCCCCCGGCCCCCCCGGGGAAGUCGGCCAAGGCUUCCGGCGCUGGGGUGCUCCUCUCGGACGACAUCCCACAUCGCACAGGCGCCGGCAGUUCUGGAGGCCAGCGGGAGUCCGGCUGCCCGAGACCCCUGAGGUCCUCUUGUCCGCGGCGCUUCCAGGGAGUUUCUCCUAG